rnacentral:ncRNA from 17 species
AAUAAAGUACAUUAUAUAGGUGUCAGAUGACUUAAUAGGGAAAUCGGUAUAAGCCGAUGCGGUCCCGCCACUGUAGGAGGAGCAAACCUCACAUUGCCACUGGAUUUUUCUGGGAAGGCGAGGUAAGCGAUGAAUCUAAGCCAGGAGAACUGCCUAUAGGAGAAUCAUCGUU